AGGAUUAUAAUUUAAUAUAAAAUAUUUGAAUUGCAAUCAAAAAUUACUUUUAAUAAGUUAAUCUUA
rnacentral:tRNA from 1 species